AGUGGUAAAAACUAUUUAUUUAUUAACAAAGAAUGAAAUUACUACUUAUAAAAAGAAAAAAGGUUAUAUUUAUUAUAUGCAAAGAAGAAGAAAAUAUGGCUCAAGUUCUCAUAUUUGUUUAUGCAUUGCUCAUCUUUAUUUUUCUAUUUCUUGUUGAAACAAGCAAAGCAACUCCCAAUCCCUGCAAAACUGCCAGAGAUUGUCCAGAGGUUAGAGAACAUAUUGCACUGUGUAUUGAUGGUUUUUGUGAAUAUCGACAUUUGUAUAUGAUAUGAACAAAAAAAGGGUUACACAAUAAAAGGGUUACAUAAAUAAAUUAUUUUUCGUUAAAGACUCUUGCAAAUCUUAAAGGCUCUUACAUAAAUAAAAGGAUAGUUUCAAGCA